AUUGGAACUGAGUGAAAAAAAUUGUGCACAUCUGAAUGCUUCUUCCUAUACCUGCUUUUUUUUUUAAUAGUUCAACUCAAUUUUUCGGCUAUGUUUUUUCUCUAGAAAAAAAAUGGAAGAGAACUGAAAAGGGUAUAACUGAAUAAGAGUGCAAAUAAUCCAAGAAGUAAGGGCUUACCACCCAUUUGGUAUACCAACUUUAGAUUUUUACAAAUGUUAUUGUUUUCCUAGUUCAGUUAUAUACAUCAAAUAUGUUAUAAUAUUUUUUCAUAAAUUCCCCCAUGGUUUCUGCAUUAUGAAUUCCAGUCUGUUCAAGAGAAUUCCACAAUGCAGACAGCAUGCUAGAAAUGUACUUCCACUGCAAAUACCAUGGCUUCAAGAAAAAGGGAAGUGUCAAUCCAUUUGAGAGAUCUGAUGAGAAGGAAGGAGAAUGGUUAGAAGUCCAGUAAACACAUCAGAACUGGGGAUAUAUGUAUGAACUAUGAGGAGGAACAAGCAGGUUAUUUCUACAUGUUGUCCACCGAGUCCCAGGACUUGAACUGCUUAAAGAAAGUCCGAUACAUGAAAAUGUUAAUUAUCAGGAGUCUUGAUCAAAAUGGCCAAAAAUGAACAGUUGAAGAAAUUAGAUAUUUUUAUUUAUGCUUUCUUCUAAUUCAAGCUGAUGUUGCACUAUUACGCCAGCAACAGCUUAGCUGAUCUGCCCUGGGAUGGAGGUAAGAAUGAAAUUCUAGUUAUCAUACCUAUAUUUAUAACUGUGAGUGCUAACCUUUUUCCAGAUAAGUAAUUGAUUGCUACUGUGUCAUAAAAAAUUGGAAAUGCCAGGGAGAGUAUAUUCAGAAAGGUAGACUAACUGUUAAAUGAACAGAGAUACGAGAGCUGUCUGUAUGAAAUGCUUUGUAUAUAUUUUGUUGAGUGACUUUAUGAGAAAAAGUAACUCAAACAUAACAGCACAAAAUUGGAGGAAUCUGUAACACAGAAGAGUUUUAUAUCACUAUUUGUAAGGUAGUUCAGGCUUUGUCUUUACUAAUUGCUGUUGCUUGUUGUUGUUUUUUGUUUGUUUUACUGUGCCAUUGAUUUCAGCAGAAAAUGACAAUCAUGAAAAACUGCUAAAGACUAUAGACAAGUUUAGACAUCAAUUUUCUUGUAAUAUGAAAUAUAUGAAAUAGAAAAUGCUUUAUAAACUUUAUAAGUUCCCUUUUUCACUCUGCAUCCAGUUUUAAAUACAUAGUUGUUUUUGGCAGACUCUCAAACCUAAAAUUUACCAAGAAAACAAAUAAAUACAGUUGAAAGGGGAAAGAGAUUGUUUCA
rnacentral:lncRNA from 1 species